UACGUAGGGGGCUAGCGUUGUCCGGAUUUAUUGGGCGUAAAGAGCGUGUAGGCGGCCAGGUAGGUCUGCUGUGAAAACCCGCGGCUCAACCGUGUGGUCUGCAGUCGAUACGGGCAGGCUAGAGUUCGGUAGGGGAGACUGGAAUUCCUGGUGUAGCGGUGAAAUGCGCAGAUAUCAGGAGGAACACCGGUGGCGAAGGCGGGUCUCUGGGCCGAUACUGACGCUGAGGAGCGAAAGCGUGGGGAGCGAACAGG
rnacentral:rRNA from 1 species